GAUGAACGCUGGCGGCGUGCUUAACACAUGCAAGUCGAACGAUGAAGCCCAGCUUGCUGGGUGGAUUAGUGGCGAACGGGUGAGUAACACGUGAGUAACCUGCCCUUGACUCUGGGAUAAGCCUGGGAAACUGGGUCUAAUACUGGAUAUGACUUCUCAUCGCAUGGUGGGGGGUGGAAAGAUUUAUUGGUCUUGGAUGGACUCGCGGCCUAUCAGCUUGUUGGUGAGGUAAUGGCUCACCAAGGCGACGACGGGUAGCCGGCCUGAGAGGGUGACCGGCCACACUGGGACUGAGACACGGCCCAGACUCCUACGGGAGGCAGCAGGGGGGAAUAUUGCACAAUGGGCGCAAGCCUGAUGCAGCGACGCCGCGUGAGGGAUGACGGCCUUCGGGUUGUAAACCUCUUUCAGUAGGGAAGAAGCGAGAGUGACGGUACCUGAAGAAGAAGCGCCGGCUAACUACGUG
rnacentral:rRNA from 1 species